rnacentral:rRNA from 1 species
AGGACGAACGCUGGCGGCGUGCUUAACACAUGCAAGUCGAACGGAAAGGCCCUUUCGGGGGUACUCGAGUGGCGAACGGGUGAGUAACACGUGGGUGAUCUGCCCUGCACUUCGGGAUAAGCUUGGGAAACUGGGUCUAAUACCGGAUAGGACUACGGACUGCAUGGUCUGUGGUGGAAAGCUUUUGCGGUGUGGGAUGGGCCCGCGGCCUAUCAGCUUGUUGGUGGGGUGAUGGCCUACCAAGGCGACGACGGGUAGCCGGCCUGAGAGGGUGUCCGGCCACACUGGGACUGAGAUACGGCCCAGACUCCUACGGGAGGCAGCAGUGGGGAAUAUUGCACAAUGGGCGCAAGCCUGAUGCAGCGACGCCGCGUGGGGGAUGACGGCCUUCGGGUUGUAAACCUCUUUCACCAUCGGCGAAGCCAUAGCUUUGUUGUGGUGACGGUAGGUGGAGAGAAGCGACCGGCCAACUACGUGCCAGCAGCCGCGGU